ensembl:misc_RNA Metazoa_SRP Metazoan signal recognition particle RNA
GUAGAAACGAGGUCUCACCGUGUUACCCAGGCUGGUCUCAAAUCCGUGGGCUCAGGCAAUCAGCUAUAGUGUGCUAUGCUGAUUGGGUGUCCACACUAAGUUCAGCAAUAUGGUGACCUCCUGGGAGCGUAGGGCCACCAGGUUGCCUAAGGAGGGAUGAACUGGCCCAGGUCAGAAACCAAGCAGGUCAAAACUCCUGUGCUGAUCAGCUGUGGGAUCUCACAUGAGAAUAGCCACCGCACUCCAGCCUGGGCAGCAUAGUGAGGCCCUGUCUUU